rnacentral:SRP_RNA from 1 species
GCCAGGCGUGGUGGCAGGCGCCUGUAAUCCCAGCUACUCAGGAGGCUGAGGCGGGAGAAUUGCUUGAACCCGGGAGGCAGAGGUUGCAGUGAGCCAAGAUAGGGCCACUGCACUCCAGCCUGGGCAACAAAGCAAGACCCUGCCUCGA